CUGGUGUGUGGGUUGGCGCCCACACAAGGGUUUCAAAGGUUAACCCCCCUAAGAGGGUCUCCCGCCCACAGGGGGAAUGAGAUACGCCCCAGAUUCCUACGGGAAGGCAGCAGUGGGGAAUAUUGCACAAUGGGCGCAAGCCUGAUGCAGCGACGCCGCGUGGGGGAUGACGGCCUUCGGGUUGUAAACCUCUUUCAGCACAGACGAAGCGCAAGUGACGGUAUGUGCAGAAGAAGCACCGGCCAACUACGUGCCAGCAGCCGCGGUAAUACGUAGGGUGCGAGCGUUGUCCGGAAUUACUGGGCGUAAAGAGCUUGUAGGUGGUUUGUCGCGUUGUUCGUGAAAUCUCACGGCUUAACUGUGAGCGUGCGGGCGAUACGGGCAGACUAGAGUACUGCAGGGGAGACUGGAAUUCCUGGUGUAGCGGUGGAAUGCGCAGAUAUCAGGAGGAACACCGGUGGCGAAGGCGGGUCUCUGGGCAGUAACUGACGCUGAGAAGCGAAAGCGUGGGGAGCGAACAGGAUUAGAUACCCUGGUAGUCCACGCCGUAAACGGUGGGUACUAGGUGUGGGUUUCCUUCCUUGGGAUCCGUGCCGUAGCUAACGCAUUAAGUACCCCGCCUGGGGAGUACGGCCGCAAGGCUAAAACUCAAAGGAAUUGACGGGGGCCCGCACAAGCGGCGGAGCAUGUGGAUUAAUUCGAUGCAACGCGAAGAACCUUACCUGGGCUUGACAUGCACUAGAAAGCCGUAGAGAUACGGCCCCCCUCGUGGUUGGUGUGCAGGUGGUGCAUGGCUGUCGUCAGCUCGUGUCGUGAGAUGUUGGGUUAAGUCCCGCAACGAGCGCAACCCUUGUCUCAUGUUGCCAGCGGGUAAUGCCGGGGACUCGUGAGAGACUGCCGGGGUCAACUCGGAGGAAGGUGGGGAUGACGUCAAGUCAUCAUGCCCCUUAUGUCCAGGGCUUCACACAUGCUACAAUGGCCGGUACAAAGGGCUGCGAUGCCGUGAGGUGGAGCGAAUCCUUUCAAAGCCGGUCUCAGUUCGGAUCGGGGUCUGCAACUCGACCCCGUGAAGUCGGAGUCGCUAGUAAUCGCAGAUCAGCAACGCUGCGGUGAAUACGUUCCCGGGCCUUGUACACACCGCCCGUCACGUCAUGAAAGUCGGUAACACCCGAAGCCGGUGGCCUAACCCCUCGUGGGAGGGAGCCGUCGAAGUGAUCCGCCAGUCCG
rnacentral:rRNA from 1 species